rnacentral:sRNA from 1 species
ACUUUGAUUAAUGUUAAUUUAAGAUCUCUACUGUAAUUACGGUUGAGUGCGGCCCCUCCCGGGGUCGCGGGCUGGAUCCCGAUCCAGCCAGUUUGAUGCCUCCCUGUUGACUUGAGCCGCCGUGAUCCGGCGGCUCUUUUUUU